GGCGCACACACCCUCGGAUUGACGUGCGCACGCGCACCGGUUACCUUCAGGAGCGCCGAAGAAGGAAAGAAGACUGCCAGCUCCGUGACAGCAAGAACCUUGUAUGACUUUUUCAUGAUGGAUGUUCAUCUGUGCCAUCUGUAAAUAUUGAAUAAAUAUUUGUGGAAUACAUGAAUCUAAAAGUGAAUGGAAUGAUAAAGAGGGAAAGGGUCAUGACAUCUACUACAGCAUUUGGCACAGACCCAGCUGUCUGCAGUACUAUCAAGAGAUGACAUGGACUUCAAGGAUCAAACAGGGGAGAAAAAGGCUUAAAAGAAAAACAAGUCUCCAUCAAAGUCCUCCUGACAUCUUAAUCUAUCUGCCAACGCUACAUGCCGUCAAGCCAAGGAAGAAUUUCCUUCUCACUGUUGCUUCUCUGACCAAGGAAGACAUAAGCACAACCAAUCACCAGACUGAUGAAAUUCCUUCCAGUUUCAGAAAAGAUUAUCACCAAUCCCUACAUUAUAAAAUUCAUACUAAUAAAGCACAAACAUUGAAUUCUAACAUUA
rnacentral:lncRNA from 1 species